UACGUAGGGGGCAAGCGUUGUCCGGAAUCAUUGGGCGUAAAGCGCGUGUAGGCGGUUUCGUAAGUCUGCUGUGAAAGUCGGAGGCUCAACCUUCGAAAGCCGGUGGAUACUGUGAGACUUGAGUACGGAAGAGGAGAGUGGAAUUCCUGGUGUAGCGGUGAAAUGCGCAGAUAUCAGGAGGAACACCGGUGGCGAAGGCGGGUCUCUGGGCCGAAAUUGACGCUGAGGAGCGAAAGCGUGGGGAGCAAACAGG
rnacentral:rRNA from 1 species